rnacentral:rRNA from 1 species
AAUAGAUACCCGGGUAGUCCUAGCCGUAAACGAUACUCGCUAGGUGUCGGCCACGGUGCGACCGUUGUCGGUGCCGUAGGGAAGCCGUGAAGCGAGCCACCUGGGAAGUACGGCCGCAAGGCUGAAACUUAAAGGAAUUGGCGGGGGAGCACCACAACGGGUGGAGCUUGCGGUUUAAUUGGAUUCAACGCCGGAAAUCUUACCGGGACCGACAGCAAUAUGAAGGCCAGGCUGAAGACUUUGCCGGAUUAGCUGAGAGGUGGUGCAUGGCCGUCGUCAGUUCGUACUGUGAAGCAUCCUGUUAAGUCAGGCAACGAGCGAGACCCACGCCCACAGUUGCCAGCGUACUCUCUGGAGUGACGGGUACACUGUGGGGACCGCCGCUGCUAAAGCGGAGGAAGGAAUGGGCAACGGUAGGUCAGUAUGCCCCGAAUAUCCCGGGCUACGCGCGAGCUACAAUGGUUGGUACAAUGGGUAUCUACCCCGAAAGGGGACGGGAAUCUCCUAAAACCAAUCUUAGUUCGGAUUGAGGGCUGCAACUCGCCCUCA